rnacentral:tRNA from 1 species
GCGCAUGAAGUUUAACGGUUGAACGCCGGGAGUGUACCCCGGAAGCAACAGGUUCGACUCCUGUGAUGUGCU